GACGAACGCUGGCGGCGUGCUUAACACAUGCAAGUCGAACGAUGAAGCCGGAGCUUGCUCCGGUGGAUUAGUGGCGAACGGGUGAGUAACACGUGAGCAAUCUGCCCUUGACUCUGGGAUAACUGCGGGAAACUGUAGCUAAUACCGGAUACGACACCUUGGGGCAUCCCAGGGUGAGGAAAGAAUUUCGGUCAAGGAUGAGCUCGCGGCCUAUCAGCUAGUUGGUGAGGUAAUGGCUCACCAAGGCGACGACGGGUAGCCGGCCUGGGAGGGUGACCGGCCACACUGGAACUGAGACACGGUCCAGACUCCUACGGGAGGCAGCAGUGGGGAAUAUUGCACAAUGGGCGAAAGCCUGAUGCAGCAACGCCGCGUGAGGGAUGAAGGCCUUCGGGUUGUAAACCUCUUUUAGCAGGGAAGAAGCGAAAGUGACGGUACCUGCAGAAAAAGCACCGGCUAACUACGUGCCAGCCGCCGCAGUAA
rnacentral:rRNA from 1 species